rnacentral:rRNA from 1 species
AUAGCGUAUACUAGAGUUGUUGUGGUUAAAAAGCUCGUAGUUGGAUCUCAGUUCGAGUCAGACGGUCCACUUGCCAGUGGUUACUGUCUGACUGAACACUUUAUCGAGUUGUCCUAUGGUGCUCUUCACCGAGUGUCAUAGGCGAUCGAUACGUUUACUUUGAAAAAAUUAGAGUGCUCAAAGCAGGCGUUUUGCCCGAAUAAUGUUGCAUGGAAUAAUGGAAUAGGACCUCGGUUCUAUUUUGUUGGUCUUCGGAAUCUGAGGUAAUGAUUAAGAGGGACAGACGGGGGCAUUCGUAUUGCAACGAUAGAGGUGAAAUUCUUGGACCGUUGUACGACGAA